GUCUAUGGCCAUACCAUACUGACCACUCCCAAUCUUGUCUGAUCUCAGAAGCUUAGCAGGGUCAGGCCUGGUUAGUACUUGGAUGGGAACCCACUGAUAUCCAAACAACUUCAGAUG
rnacentral:rRNA from 1 species